rnacentral:rRNA from 1 species
UACAGAGGUCCCAAGCGUUGUUCGGAUUCAUUGGGCGUAAGGGUGCGUAGGUGGCGCCGUAAGUCAGGUGUGAAAUCUCGGGCUUAACUCCGAAACUGCAUUUGAUACUGCGGUGCUUGAGGACUGGAGAGGAGACUGGAAUUUACGGUGUAGCAGUGAAAUGCGUAGAGAUCGUAAGGAAGACCAGUGGCGAAGGCGGGUCUCUGGACAGUUCCUGACACUGAGGCACGAAGGCCAGGGGAGCAAACGGG